CUUUCUCUCUCUAACUUCUCUCUAGCCUCCCUAAACCCCUCCCAAGUCUAGGGAACCUCCCUAUCACGAGAAGAAAGCCCCGGAGCGCCCGACGGCUCCGAGAAGAAAAGCUUUCGGCUCGGAAACGCUGCUCCAGCGAAGUCCGGUUUUUAAUAAAAACCCAUUGUUUGGUCAAGGAAAAAUUGUUUUAAGAAGUAACGAAGAGCUGUCCGAGUGCCGAGUCACCACCUUACCAGGUAGUGGCGCAUGAGCAUAGGUGUGAUGUUUUGGACGAGGGAUUACGGAUAUAGGCCUAUAGAUAUGAAAUAAUGUAGUAAGGCUUAUAUUGUACUGUUUAUGCUUUUGAUCUGUACGAACAUGACAUCCCGAGUCUUUUAAUGAAAUACAUUUCUAUGGAAAUGCUUUUGAUAAAUCUUUAUCAUAUUUUGUUUUGGGACAAAUUCCGCAACACUUUCAUUUAAAAUGUAACUCUGAUUUUUAAACAAAGCAUAAACAAACCGGUCUUUUCUGGCCGUGAUUUUGGGGAUGUCACAGAGUUAAAUUAAAAGCAAUAUCAUGAAUGAUGAA